CCCGGCUCCGCCCCGGGCCUGCCCAGGGGGAGAGCGGAGCGGCCCGCAGCCGGGUCGGGUCGGGGCCCCUCCCGGGAGGAGCGUGGAGCGGCGGCGGCGGCAGUAGAAAUAAUGGAAGAAUUGCAUAGCCUGGACCCACGACGGCAGGAAUUAUUAGAGGCCAGGUUUACUGGAGUAGGUGUUAGUAAGGGACCACUUAAUAGUGAGUCUUCCAACCAGAGCUUGUGUAGCGUCAGAUCCUUGAGUGAUAAAGGAGUAGAGGGAAAGGCACUCCUAGGGGACAUAAAAUUAGUGAUUACUUUGAGUUUGCUGGGGGAAGCGGGCCAGGAACCAGCCCUGGCAGAAGUGUUCCACCAGUUGCACGAUCCUCACCGCAACAUUCCUUAUCCAAUCCCUUACCGUGACGAGUAGCACAGCCCCUCUAUGGUUUAGAUGGCAGUGCUGCAAAGGAGGCAACAGAGGAGCAGUCUGCUCUGCCAAUCCUCACGUCAGUGAUGCUAGCAAAACCUCGGCUUGACACAGAGCAGCUGGCGUAAAGGAGAGCUGGCCUCUGCUUCACUUUUGUUUCAGCUCAGCAAAACAGUCCCUCAUCUACGGGAUCUGGCAACACAGAGCAUUCCUGCAGCUCCCAAAAACAGAUCUCCAUCCAGCACAGACAGACCCAGUCCAACCUCACAAUAGAAAAAAUAUCUGCACUAGAAAACAGUAAGAAUUCUGACCUAGAGAAGAGGGAGGGAAGAAUAGAUGAUUUAUUAAGAGCCAACUGUGAUUUGAGACGGCAGAUUGAUGAACAGCAAAAGAUGCUAGAGAAAUACAAGGAACAAUUAAAUAGAUGUGUGACAAUGAGCAAGAAACUCCUUAUAGAAAAGAUGAUGAUUAUUCCCCACCUUCUAAGAGACAAAGACCAACGAGCCACCACAGCCACCGGUCCCAGAACCCGCCAAUGCUGGGGAACGGAAAAUGAGGGAGUUCAACUCUGGCCCUCACAAUCCAGUGGAGGAGACGAAACUCAGCUGCCUCUGUCCCUCUGGGCACGCCUCAUGCCAGGUGCAUCUGUGGACAGGGGCCAUGCUCCUGGGCUUCCAAAGUUGGAGAAAGCUGCCAGGCUCAGGUCUGAAGGCCAGAAUUCUACAGUAAGUCCUACUCAGUCAAGGUGGGAGCAGGGUCAGUGGCUUCCGAGGCUCUGCGGGAGAAUCCGUUUCCUGGCCGUGGAGGUGGCCUGCACUCCUCAGCUUGUGCUGCCCGUCUCGAAUGACUGGAGUUUCCUGCUUCUGUCACUACACCUCCCACCCUCUCCAUCACCUGCUCUGCUCUUAUAAGGAUCCGAAGAAAUGGAAUAAUCGUAUCGCUGAUCUACGUAAACAAAUUGAAGAAUUGUCUGAAAGAAAAUAUGUUAUGUCUAAACUGGAAAAGUCCUGUAAUCUUAUGUUCAUGGGCUUUUACACAAUGGAGUUACUGUUCAUCAUGGGGGUACCGUGGACAAGCCCAGAGCUGCCGGCGAGUCAUGCCAUCCUUACACGUUUCUCCUUGGAAGACGUGAACUUAUGAAUUCAACAGGUGAAGAUUUACAACUUGAUAAAUCAGCUUCAUGAGAGCCACCUGAGCUGAAGAUUCCCUUGAGAACAAGUACUGUCCUGUGGUUUCAUGGCCUUUCUUCCAUUUGUGGUUCUUGCGAAGUGGAAUUUAAAUGACAUCUUAUCAAGAUGGAUAAACCCUAGUUUCCCAGUGCUGGAAUAUAGAAAAUGGAUGGACAAGUAAAUCCCACUCAGCACCCAUAGUCCAGGCAUGGGGACCUCAACACACCUGAGCCCCAGACAUCACCUUUCAUUCUGGACCUACCAUGAAAGACUUCUGAAUCCAGGAAGAGAGACUGACUGGGAAACAUGUUAUUCAG
rnacentral:lncRNA from 1 species